GUACCUUCAAGCUUUGCUUGGUGUUGGGUGUUUGUCCUUGACCCUCUGGGGUAGGACUCGCCUUAAAGUAAUUGGCAGCCAGUGUUUUGGUUUGAAGCGCAGCACAAGUCGCGAUUCAAGCUUGAAUAAUAGCUUCCAUUAAGUUAUUUAUCAC
rnacentral:misc_RNA from 1 species